rnacentral:lncRNA from 1 species
GAGGUUUCAACGGCCGGAAAGAUGAAUCACGGAAAGUGUAAGAGGAUGAAAGUAAAGAGGGGAAAAAGAGAGUGUAGAACAUGUAGAUUGAAAACUGAAUUGGAAAUAUGAAUCGAUUCAUGUUAGCAUAGUUAUUAUAUGUUGAAAUUGCUUAUGGAGGUGAAUGGUAGCUACUGAAUGAUAAUGAAUGUCAAUGAUCUAUGAUAAUGAUGAAUGUCGU